GACGAACGCUGGCGGCGUGCUUAACACAUGCAAGUCGAACGGAAAGGCCCUGCUUUUGUGGGGUGCUCGAGUGGCGAACGGGUGAGUAACACGUGAGUAACCUGCCCUUGACUUUGGGAUAACUUCAGGAAACUGGGGCUAAUACCGGAUAGGAGCUCCUGCUGCAUGGUGGGGGUUGGAAAGUUUCGGCGGUUGGGGAUGGACUCGCGGCUUAUCAGCUUGUUGGUGGGGUAGUGGCUUACCAAGGCUUUGACGGGUAGCCGGCCUGAGAGGGUGACCGGCGACAUUGGGACUGAGAUACGGACCAGACUCCUACGGGAGGCAGCAGUGGGGAAUAUUGCACAAUGGGCGGAAGCCUGAUGCAGCAACGCCGCGUGCGGGAUGACGGCCUUCGGGUUGUAAACCUCUUUCGCCUGUGACGAAGAGUGAGUGACGGUAAUGGGUAAAGAAGCACCGGCUAACUACGUG
rnacentral:rRNA from 1 species